AUAAUAGACUACCCGGGUAGUCCCAGCCGUGACGAUGCGCGUUAGGUGUAUCGGUGACCACGAGUCACCGAGGUGCCGAAGGGAAACCGUGAAACGUGCCGCCUGGGAAGUACGGUCGCAAGGCUGAAACUUAAAGGAAUUGGCGGGGGGAGCACCACAACGGGUGGAGCCUGCGGUUUAAUUGGACUCAACGCCGGGAAGCUCACCGGAUAAGACAGCUGAAUGAUUGCCGGGCUGAAGACUCUGCAUGACUAGCUGAGAGGAGGUGCAUGGCCGUCGUCAGUUCGUACUGUGAAGCAUCCUGUUAAGUCAGGCAACGAGCGAGACCCACGCCAACAGUUGCCAGCAUGGUCUCCGGACUGAUGGGGACACUGUUGGGACCGCCUCUGCUAAAGAGGAGGAAGGAAUGGGCAACGGUAGGUCAGCAUGCCCCGAAUUAUCCGGGCUACACGCGGGCUACGAAUGGGCAGGACAAUGGGUAUCGACACCGAAAGGUGAAGGCAAUCUCCUAAACCUGUCCUUAGUUCGGAUUGUGGGUCG
rnacentral:rRNA from 1 species